rfam:Gossypium arboreum cultivar AKA8401 contig_25496_1, whole genome shotgun sequence.
AUCCCAUGAUAAGGACACUUGCAAAUUAACUCAUUGAAUCACUCUCAAGCCUCACACAAAGACUCGUCAUCCAAUUGUUGGAAGGUUGUGAUCUUAUUCUUCAACUU